rnacentral:lncRNA from 1 species
AAGAUGAUCAACACACAAAGCGUACAAGAUGUACCGAGAGGGAUCAAGUGAUCCCAUGGUAUGGUAAGCAUUAUCCAUUACGUGUUUGUGUACUAACCCAUGGUCUUCGUGAGAGUUCUAUGUGGGGGUUAGGUGUGUUUACAUGGGCUUGCGUCAAAGGGAAGAUCUCAUACAACCCAUGGAGUAUGACGUCAAGUUGUGAUCAUCAUCAAUGGUUGAUCAAG